rnacentral:lncRNA from 1 species
UAGCACGGUAUCGUGCACGGUAAGUCUGGGCCGCAAGCAUAGGGUUUUAACUGCUGUUCGCGCUUAAAUGCAACCGUUAGUCGUUGGAAUCCGCAUGUUUAACCGUGUCAUCUUUACUUGUGCAGGGUCUCCUCUCCGCAGACUUUGUGUUUGAAGCUCUGAAGGACUGCGCGGCCUCAGCUCUAACGAGGCUGCGACGUACGUGAGGCGCCUUAGCACGGUAUCGUGCACGGUAAGUCUGGGCCGCAAGCAUAGGGUUUUAACUGCUGUUCGCGCUUAAAUGCAACCGUUAGUCGUUGGAAUCCGCAUGUUUAACCGUGUCAUCUGUACUUGUGCAGGGUCUCCUCUCCGCAGACUUUGUGUUUGAAGCUUCUGAAGGACUGCGCGGCCUCAGCUUUAACGAGGCUGCGACGUACGUGAGGCGCCUUAGCACGGUAUCGUGCACGGUAAGUCUGGGCCGCAAGCAUAGGGUUUUAACUGCUGUUCGCGCUUAAAUGCAACCGUUAGUCGUUGGAAUCCGCAUGUUUAACCGUGUCAUCUUUACUUGUGCAGGGUCUCCUCUCCGCAGACUUUGUGUUUGAAGCUCUGAAGGACUGCGCGGCCUCAGCUCUAACGAGGCUGCGACGUACGUGAGGCGCCUUAGCACGGUAUCGUGCACGGUAAGUCUGGGCCGCAAGCUUAGGGUUUUAACUGCUGUUCGCGCUUAAAUGCAACCGUUAGUCGUUGGAAUCCGCAUGUUUAACCGUGUCAUCUGUACUUGUGCAGGGUCUCCUCUCCGCAGACUUUGU